UACGAGGGGGGCUAGCGUUGUUCGGAAUUACUGGGCGUAAAGCGCGCGCAGGCGGUCUUCCAAGUCAGUGGUGAAAGCCCGGAGCUCAACUCCGGAACUGCCAUUGAAACUGUAAGACUUGAGGAUGAGAGAGGUGAGUGGAAUUCCCAGUGUAGAGGUGAAAUUCGUAGAUAUUGGGAAGAACACCGGUGGCGAAGGCGGCUCACUGGCUCAUAUCUGACGCUCAGGCGCGACAGCGUGGGGAUCAAACAGG
rnacentral:rRNA from 1 species